GAGUUUGAUCGUGGCUCAGAUUGAACGCUGGCGGCAGGCCUAACACAUGCAAGUCGAGCGGAUGACGGGAGCUUGCUCCUUGAUUCAGCGGCGGACGGGUGAGUAAUGCCUGGGAAUCUGCCUGGUAGUGGGGGACAACGUUUCGAAAGGAACGCUAAUACCGCAUACGUCCUACGGGAGAAAGCAGGGGACCUUCGGGCCUUGCGCUAUCAGAUGAGCCUAGGUCGGAUUAGCUAGUUGGUGGGGUAAUGGCUCACCAAGGCGACGAUCCGUAACUGGUCUGAGAGGAUGAUCAGUCACACUGGAACUGAGACACGGUCCAGACUCCUACGGGAGGCAGCAGUGGGGAAUAUUGGACAAUGGGCGAAAGCCUGAUCCAGCCAUGCCGCGUGUGUGAAGAAGGUCUUCGGAUUGUAAAGCACUUUAAGUUGGAGAAGGGCAGUAGUUAAUACCUUGCUGUUUUGACGUUUACCGACAGAAUAAGCACCGGCUAACUCUGUGCCAGCCGCG
rnacentral:rRNA from 1 species